rfam:Stanieria cyanosphaera PCC 7437, complete genome.
AGUUUUAAACGACCUAUACCAAAGACAGUGGGUGCUGAAAUCAGCUUAAUAUCCUGCCGAGGUUGAUGUCCUAAAAAAAAUUCCCUUGCUUCAAAAAUAACUGUAGCAAUUAGGGAAAGACAUCAGACGCGACCCCGGCAUCUAGCUAGGGGUCUUGUUAUAUGUCGAA